GUAAGCAUUGUGCAAAGGAAGUACUGCUAUUCUCCCCAUUUUACAGAUAAGAGAAUGAAGCCCAGAGUGGGUAUGUGACUUGCCCAAAGCCCCACAGCUAAGUAGGGGAGUUGGGUUUGAACAUGUUCGUCUAACCCCAAGUUCCUGCCCAACACUUGCUAUUUUAUUCUCUGGCUCAGAGACAAGGUGUUUCUCUUGAUCUUUUGCACAAUGGGACCCGGGAUAGGAGAAGGGGAGAUGUUAACUGCUAGCGUCCCCCUUAAAACUCAUUAGGGAAAUACAUAGCCAUGUCCUCUCUCUCCCUAAAUGAACAGUCCCCUGAUGACAGGUGCCACUGGGUUGCUUGGGUGUGGAAGCAGCUCCUGCUAACUGCUAGGUACACCUCUUGUCUGCCCCCCUCCUUCCCUCCCUGAGCCUGGCCCUCUUAGGGUUCAGCCUUAUUCUUCUGAACAUAAAACUGGCCGCCUCCUCUCCUGGGCCUCCCCAGCUCUCCAAGGUUAGUUGAUUGGGAGCUGCGAGGCCACGUGGGUUCCAGGGCAACAUGCCCACAUUCUCCAGCAAAACUUCUUUGCCUCCCAGGCAGGGGACAGGACAGAUAGCCACAGUCACCAUGGAGGCUCCCGGUCCUCCCUGAUAAUCCCAAGACCCCCCUCACCCCGCCUUGUUGCCUGGGCACACCCAGGGUGCUUCCGGAAAGUGUCAAGAGUGUGCCCCACCCCACACAGGUCCCCACCCCCCGGGACAUCAGGAGAUGGCUUACCCCUUGGGAAGCUGGCACCUCUGAGCCUGGUGCCCUCCCCACCAGUCUCCUUGCAACUGGAAAUCAUUUCCAGUGGGAGCAGCCGCCGGCCUUGGAGUUGUUGCCUCGUUGCCUCGUGACUGGGACAAAGGGGAAUGUAGGACAUGGGCGCUCCUGGCUGCUGCUCUUCAACUGAGAACCGCGCCAGCCAGAAAACUCUCGCUAAUGGCCUUCUCCGAACCUCCUUCUAGAUAAUGAUAAAUAAUGUGUAUUUUUAGUUUGGAAUUGAAUUUCAUCUCUCCAUUGCUGGUGUGUUUCAGGUGUUUUCCCC
rnacentral:lncRNA from 1 species